CCUACGGGCGGCAGCAGUAGGGAAUCUUUCACAAUGGUCGAAAGCCUGAUGGAGCAACGCCGCGUGCAGGAUGAAGGCCUUCGGGUUGUAAACUGCUUUUAUAAGCGAGAAAUAUGAUGGUAACUUAUGAAUAAGGAUCGGCUAACUACGUGCCAGCACCCGCGGUCAUACGUAGGAUCCGAGCGUUAUCCGGAGUGACUGGGUGUAAAGAGUUGCGUAGGUGGGAUAAUAAGUAGUUGGUGAAAUCUGGUGGCUCAACCAUUCAGACUAUGAGGUAAACUGUUAAGCUUGAGACCGUUAGGGGUAACUGGAAUUUGUAGUGUAGCAGUGAAAUGCGUAGAUAUUAGGAGGAACACCGAUAGCGUAGGCAGGUUACUGGGACGGUUCUGGCACUAAGGCACGAAAGCGUAGGGAGCGAACGGGAUUAGAUACCCCAGUAGUC
rnacentral:rRNA from 1 species